rnacentral:rRNA from 1 species
UCAACGGCCGCGGUAUCCUAACCGUGCUAAGGUAGCAUAAUCAAUUGUUCUCUAAUUAAGGACCUGUAUGAACGGUUUGACGUGGGCUAACCUGUCUCUAUGUUACUGCCUAUAAAUUAAUCUUAAAGUGAAAAAGCUUUAAUACUCUAAAAAGACAAAAAGACCCUAUAGAGCUUUAUUUCUAAUAGAAGAUAUAUCUUCUCACCCUAAAAAGAAAUUUGGUUGGGGCAACCAGAGUUUUUAAUAACUCUCACCCAAAUAACAAAUCAGUAAAACUUUAUCACACCUUAGCAUAAAAAACCAAGUUACCUUAGGGAUAACAGCGUUCUCCUCUUUUAGAGCCCAAAUCGAAAAGAGGGCUUACGACCUCGAUGUUGGAUUAAAGAACUUUAAGGCGUAAAAUCCUUAAUCAGUUGGUCUGUUCGACCAUUAAUUCUUUAC